rnacentral:misc_RNA from 1 species
UCCGGUUUGUCACCGGCAGUCUCCUUAGAGUUCCCGACAUUACUCGCUGGCAACUAAGGACAAGGGUUACGCUCGUUGCGGGACUUAACCCAACAUCUCACGACACGAGCUGACGACAGCCAUGCAGCACCUGUGCAUGCUGGUAUUGCUACCUCGUCAGACUUUCAUCCUUCUACUACUUGCAUGUCAAGGCCAGGUAAGGUUCUUCGCGUUGCAUCGAAUUAAGCCACAUACUCCACCGCUUGUGCAGGCCCCCGUCAAUUUCUUUGAGUUUCAACCUUGCGGCCGUACUCCCCAGGCGGAGAACUUAACGCGUUAGCUACGACACCGAGAGGCAGACCCUCCCGACAUCCAGUUCUCAUCGUUUAUGGCGUGGACUAC